CCUAAAGAAAGAAAAUGGAAAGAAAAUGUAUGUUUGUACAAACAUAUCACAGAUAUAUUUAUGCUGGUGCAAGUUCACAUGGGCUAUUUUUUCUUACAAUUCACCUUCUUUAAAAAUCAACCAGGAAGUCUUUUCCAAACUAUUUACACAUUCAAUGAGAGAUGACUACUGUGCAAUCUGUAUGCUUGUGCUGAUCCUGCAACUGUUCCUCUUGGCAGUAUAAUAUAAUACAUAGGACAGCAGCAGAAUCAUUUGUGGGGAAUGGAUGUGCUGAACAGCAUACCCAGCACCUGAAGCUAUGAGCCACAGAGACAAGCCUUAAUUCUGUCUUUAUUACAGGAAAUGCACUACAAGCAAGAUUGAUUAUGAAAUUAAGCAAACUACAGAAAUCAUGCAGAGUACAGCUUCUGUGCUGUUUACCUGCAGUGGUCAGUGGAAGUGUCUGUAUUUUCUUUGAGGAAGGUUGAAUUUCACUCAGGACUUACCCGGAAAGGAGUGAGAAAAACCAUCCCUUUCUUAGUGC